UACAGGGGGUGCAAACGUUGCUCGGAAUCAUUGGGCGUAAAGCGCACGUAGGCGGUUCGUUAUGUCGGAUGUGAAAGCCCUUGGCUUAACCGAGGAAGUGCAUCCGAAACUGGCGAGCUAGAGUACGAAAGAGGAUCGCGGAAUUCCCGGUGUAGAGGUGAAAUUCGUAGAUAUCGGGAGGAACACCGGUGGCGAAGGCGGCGAUCUGGGUCGAUACUGACGCUGAGGUGCGAAAGCGUGGAGAGCAAACAGG
rnacentral:rRNA from 1 species